GUGCUUGCUUUGGCAGCACAUAUACUAAAAUUGGAAUGAUACAGAGAAGAUUAGCAUGGCCCCUGAAAAAAAAAUACAGAAAUUCAGCCUGAACAAUAAUACUGCCAA